rnacentral:rRNA from 1 species
AGAGUUUGAUCUUGGCUCAGGAUGAACGCUAGCUACAGGCUUAACACAUGCAAGUCGAGGGGAAACGACAUCGAAAGCUUGCUUUUGAUGGGCGUCGACCGGCGCACGGGUGAGUAACGCGUAUCCAACCUGCCCACCACUUGGGGAUAACCUUGCGAAAGUAAGACUAAUACCCAAUGACGUCUCUAGAAGACAUCUGAAAGAGAUUAAAGAUUUAUCGGUGAUGGAUGGGGAUGCGUCUGAUUAGCUUGUUGGCGGGGUAACGGCCCACCAAGGCUACGAUCAGUAGGGGUCUGAGAGGAGGUCCCCACAUUGGAACUGAGACACGGUCCAAACUCCUACGGGAGGCA